AUUGAACGCUGGCGGCAGGCUUAACACAUGCAAGUCGAACGAGUGGCGGACGGGUGAGUCAUGCAUGGGAAUCUAGCCUUUGGCGGGGGAUAACUACGGGAAACUGUAGCUAAUACCGAGUACCUUAGGAUGAGCCCAAGUGUGAGUAGGUAGUGGGUGGGGUAAAGGCUCACCAAGCCGACGAUCCCUAGCUGUUCUGAGAGGAUGACCAGCCACCCUGGGACUGAGACACGGGCCAGACUCCUACGGGAGGCAGCAGUGGGGAAUAUUGCGCAAUGGGGGCAACCUGAUGCAGCCAUGCCGCGUGAAUGAAGAAGGCCUUCGGGUUGUAAAGUACUUUCGGUAGCGAGGCGUUAACCACAGAAGAAGCACCGGCUAACUCCGUGCCAGCAGCCGCGGUAAUUC
rnacentral:rRNA from 1 species